rnacentral:rRNA from 1 species
ACAGGUGCUGCAUGGCUGUCGUCAGCUCGUGCCGUGAGGUGUUAGGUUAAGUCCUGCAACGAGCGCUAACCCUCGUCGCUAGUUGUUUUCUCUAGCGAUACUGCCCGUAUAACGUGGAGGAAGGUGGGGAUGACGUCAAGUCAGCAUGGCCCUUACAUCCUGGGCUACACACACGCUACAAUGGGUGAUACAACAGGUUGCAAUAGAGUAAUCUGGAGCCAAUCCCUAAAAUCAUCCUCAGUACGGAUUGCAGGCUGCAACUGCCUGCAUGAAGUUGGAGUUGCUAGUAAACGCAGGUCAGCACACUGCGUUGAAUACGUUCUCGGGCCUU